rnacentral:tRNA from 1 species
UAGGGCGUAGCCAAGCGGUAAGGCAGCGGCCUUUGGAGCCGCCAUUCGGAGGUUCGAAUCCUCCCGCCCUAGCCA